rnacentral:tRNA from 1 species
GGCUCGGUAGCUUAGUUGGAAAAGCAGUUGUCUAGCGUUUAAGGGUCGUGAGUUCAAAUCUCACCUGAGCUA